rnacentral:misc_RNA from 1 species
CAACCCUUAAGCCUAGCUUAGUGUUGGGAACUUACGAUUUAGUAAUUCCCUAAAAUCAGUGGCAGAGCUAGUUCAUCUCUCAGCGUAGUAAUUUUCUCUCGCUUUUGAUGGUGUUCUAUUUCUCGCCAGAAGCAUAUUUACUUCUAAU